AUGACCUUGAAGGGCCACAGCUUCAUGUCACUCUGUACGGAGGGGUCAGAGAACCUCCUGCCAAUCAGCCGCUUCGCAUCUGCAACCAGAAACAGAGGAACAGAACAUUUGAGUUGCAUGCAAGCUGUUUCUUCAGAACAAGAGGUACAUUCAGUAAGCUACUGCAGACUGGGACUGUUCCAGAAGGAUAACCGAGAACAGAAAUUUAAAAUUAACAAGCAUAAUUUCAAUCAAACACCAUUUUCUGAAGGAUUUACAGGAUGCAACGAUACAGCGAAACCCAUGUUCAAUUCGGAAUAUCAUCCAAUCAAUAGCAAAACAUGA
rnacentral:rRNA from 1 species